rnacentral:rRNA from 1 species
UGCCAGCCGCCGCGGUAACACGGGGGGCGCAAGCGUUAUUCGGAAUUAUUGGGCGUAAAGGGCGCGUAGGCGGCUAUUUAAGUCAGAUGUGAAAGUCCACGGCUCAACCGUGGAAGUGCAUUUGAAACUGGAUGGCUUGAGUACUGGAGGGGGUGGUGGAAUUCCCGGUGUAGAGGUGAAAUUCGUAGAUAUCAGGAGGAACACCUGUGGCGAAGGCGGCCACCUGGACGGGUAUUGACGCUGAGACGCGAAAGCGUGGGUAGCAAACAGGAUUAGAUA